rnacentral:lncRNA from 1 species
GAGUCUCUGAGGUCUUACCUGGUGCCUGCUGGGGAGUGUGGUAGUGGGCGGAUUGUUUUUGAAAGGUCUCGCCCUCCCUGCUGCAGGAAUGGAUUCCUCCUCUGUGUGCUGGUGGGAACCCCUGGAAAUGCUGUCGGGCUCCCCCUGACUCUUCUGUGAGAGUGGGUCUCACUAUGGUGCCCAGGCCCAUCCGGAACUCCUGGGCCCAGAGAGAUCCUCCCGAAUCAGUCUCUGGAGACCCUGGGACCACAGGCGCAUGCCACUGCUCGCAACUCCACCACCUUUUAAAAAUGUGCCGACACAAACUCCAAAGAAGUGAAUUCUCGUUUCAGACUUCAAAGUGAGGAGUGAAAGAAACUUAAGAGGGGCUCGUGGAGCUGAGGCCCAGAGGCCGGAGGCCCAGAGGGGCUGGCUUCAGGACUCCUCAUCCUCCUUCAAGUGUGCAGGAGGGGAAGAGGGGCUCUCCAUCCUGUCCCAGGCAGCCUGCCCCCCCGGGCUGGCCUGUUUCAAGUGCAGUGUCCUAGACACUGCCUGGCUUCUAGGAUGUGUCUGGAAAAGGCUGGUUUGGGGAGGGAUCUGCAGGUUUGACCUGUGGUCCCAACACCAGAACAUGCUCAGCCUGUGGAUGGAUGGAGCUGCGAACGAGGUUGGCCAGGGGCUAGGCUUUGUCUUGUGUGGGGUGGGAUUUCACGGCAGCCCAGAACAGCGGUCAACCUUCCGUGUGACUGGAGGCUGCUCGGUGACUGGCGACAGCCAGUGUGCAGGUGGACCAGCCUCACGCUGCCCAGGUGGACGAGGCCGAGGGGCUGGGGUCCACGGGAGCAUUGCCGAGGUGCCGACCAACAACCUUCCCACUGGGAGUUCUCAGGGGCAAGUUGUCUGCUUCCACGAGAGCCCGUGAAACUCCCUGCCUUGUCUAAAACAGGCCGAAGUUGAGAUUCUCAAACCCCACAUGACGUAAGGGAGUAGGAUCUGAGCAGACCUGGGGUUGAGAGGCACUGUGGGGUGGCGUGGUGGCACACACCUGUUAUCUGAGGCGGGAGGAUCACUAGUUCAAGCCCAGCCUUGGCAGGUUAGUGAGACCCUCAGCAACUUAGCAAGACUCCAAAAGAAAAAAUAAGAGGACUGGGGACACAGCUGAGCACUGAAGAGACCCUGAUUCAGAUCCAAAAGGACAGUUAGUGCUGCAGCGGUGGAUCUUGGCCUCACGGGAGAAGCGUGGCAGCCUCUCAGCACCCUCCCUCCACAUCCUGGUCCCCAGUAUCACUCCCAGCAAGCUCUCACUGCCGCAGUCUGGCUGGGCACAAAAGAACCGAGCCGCCAGGAGGCACUGGUAGGUUCAAACAGGAACUCCUUUAUUCCCGAACUCCCGCGCACAUGCGGCCCUUCCAGGAACACCACACACCAACCGGAACUCCCCCCCCUUCCCCAACCAAUGCGAACUCUCCAGGAAUCCCCGCUCGAGAGCUCAACCAGAACUCAACAGAAACUCCGGGAACUCUGCGCUAGAACUCAAAAGUAUUGCCGGACAGCAGGGGUCUGUAUACAACUUAAUACACAGCCUGUUUCAAUCCAGCAUCAUCCAGUCACAGCAGUGAUACACAGCUUAACUUAAUCAUCAUCAUCUUAAUGGCACCUCUCAACCACUCCUUCUGGCAAAAAUGCCAGGCAUCAUCCCGACUCGGCUAUGGCUCUCAACAUCUCCCCCUUCUGUUUAAUUAAACAACAAGCAUGUGGCUUAGGGACGUGCCUGUCUUAGGUUGUCCAAUACUUCAUAUGGUCCUUACCCGUCAUCGGAUGAGCUGACCUCAAGGCGUCAGCCUCCUGUCUUAGGUUGGUACCAUUGCAAUUGGAUCUUACCUGUUAUUGACUACCGGUCCAGCAUACAGCCACACCUGUGGAUAGGCCUUUGCACCAGUGGGGGGGUGAGGUUCUUUGCCUCACCUCUGUUGGCCCCCAAAUUUUACCUGAACGACCAUCACAAGCAGAAGGGAGGAGGAUACAAAAAUGCUACGACACCAAGCCAAUUGACGGCUCCUUUUGGAAAAAUUGUACCAUUGAUGACACCAUCAGCAAAGAUACCCCAGCACUAACACAAUUUGCUGCACCAACAGAUAGUUCACAAUGCAUACAAGUGAUA